GAUGAACGCUAGCUACAGGCUUAACACAUGCAAGUCGAGGGGCAGCACAGUGUAGCAAUACAUGGGUGGCGACCGGCGCACGGGUGCGUAACGCGUAUCCAACCUUCCCGUUACUCAGGGAUAGCCUUCCGAAAGGGAGAUUCAUACCUGAUGGUGUUCAAAUUCCGCAUGUUAUUUGAACUAAAGAUUUAUCGGUAACGGAUGGGGAUGCGUGACAUUAGGUAGAUGGCGGGGUAACGGCCCACCAUGCCUACGAUGUCUAGGGGUUCUGAGAGGAAGGUCCCCCACACUGGAACUGAGACACGGUCCAGACUCCUACGGGAGGCAGCAGUGAGGAAUAUUGGUCAAUGGUCGGAAGACUGAACCAGCCAAGUAGCGUGAAGGAUGAAGGUUCUAUGGAUUGUAAACUUCUUUUAUACGGGAAUAAAACCUCCCACGUGUGGGAGCUUGUAUGUACCGUAUGAAUAAGCAUCGGCUAACUCCGUGCCAGCAGCCGCGGUAAAAC
rnacentral:rRNA from 1 species